AAUAGAUACCCCGGUAGUCCACGCCGUAAACGAUGAGUGCUAAGUGUUAGAGGGUUUCCGCCCUUUAGUGCUGAAGUUAACGCAUUGAGCACUCCGCCUGGGGAGUACGGCCGCAAGGCUGAAACUCAAAGGAAUUGACGGGGGCCCGCACAAGCGGUGGAGCAUGUGGUUUAAUUCGAAGCAACGCGAAGAACCUUACCAGGUCUUGACAUCCUCUGACAACCCUAGAGAUAGGGCUUCUCCUUCGGGAGCAGAGUGACAGGUGGUGCAUGGUUGUCGUCAGCUCGUGUCGUGAGAUGUUGGGUUAAGUCCCGCAACGAGCGCAACCCUUGAUCUUAGUUGCCAUCAUUAAGUUGGGCACUCUAAGGUGACUGCCGGUGACAAACCGGAGGAAGGUGGGGAUGAACGUCAAAUCAUCAUGCCCCUUAUGACCUGGGCUACACACGUGCUACAAUGGACGGUACAAAGAGCUGCAAGACCGCGAGGUGGAGCUAAUCUCAUAAAACCGUUCUCAGUUCGGA
rnacentral:rRNA from 1 species